rnacentral:rRNA from 1 species
ACGAACGCUGGCGGCAUGCCUAACACAUGCAAGUCGAACGAGACCUUCGGGUCUAGUGGCGCACGGGUGCGUAACGCGUGGGAAUCUGCCCUUGGGUUCGGAAUAACUCGCCGAAAGGCGUGCUAAUACCGGAUGAUGACGUAGGUCCAAAGAUUUAUCGCCCAAGGAUGAGCCCGCGUUGGAUUAGCUAGUUGGUGAGGUAAAGGCUCACCAAGGCGACGAUCCAUAGCUGGUCUGAGAGGAUGAUCAGCCACACUGGGACUGAGACACGGCCCAGACUCCUACGGGAGGCAGCAGUGGGGAAUAUUGGACAAUGGGCGAAAGCCUGAUCCAGCAAUGCCGCGUGAGUGAUGAAGGCCUUAGGGUUGUAAAGCUCUUUUACCCGGGAUGAUAAUGACCGUACCGGGAGAAUAAGCUCCGGCUAACUCCGUG